rnacentral:rRNA from 1 species
AACGAACGUUAGCGGCGCGCCUAACACAUGCAAGUCGUGCGAGAAAGGGGCAACCCCGGUAAAGCGGCGCACGGGUGAGUAACACGUAGGUAAUUUACCUCUAGGUGGUGGAUAACCUUCCGAAAGGAGGGCUAAUACAGCAUAAGACCACGGUUUCGAAAGAGACUGAGGUCAAAGUCGGCCUCUUCAUGAAAGCUGACGCCGAGAGAUAAGCCUGCGGCCCAUCAGCUAGUUGGUAGGGUAAUGGCCUACCAAGGCGAAGACGGGUAGCUGGCCUGAUAGGAGGCUCAGCCACACUGGAACUAUGACACGGUCAAGACUCCUAGGGGAGGCAGCAUUGGGGAAUCUUGCGCAAUGGGCGAAAGCCUGACGCAGCGACGCCGCGUAAGUGAUGAAGGCCUUCGGGUUGUAAAGCUCUGUGGAGAGGGACGAAUAAGUGUUGGCUAAUAUCCAGCGCGAUGACGGUACCUCUUUAGCAAGCACCGGCUAACUCUGUGCCAGCAGCUGCCGUAA